rnacentral:rRNA from 1 species
CAGCCGCCACGGGAAUACGGAGGGCGCGAGCGUUACCCGGAUUUACUGGGCGUAAAGGGCGUGUAGGCGGCCUGGGGCGUCCCAUGUGAAAGGCCACGGCUCAACCGUGGAGGAGCGUGGGAUACGCUCAGGCUAGAGGGUGGGAGAGGGUGGUGGAAUUCCCGGAGUAGCGGUGAAAUGCGCAGAUACCGGGAGGAACGCCGAUGGCGAAGGCAGCCACCUGGUCCACUUCUGACGCUGAGGCGCGAAAGCGUGGGGAGCAAACCGGAUUAGAUACCCGCGUAGUCCCUGUCUCUUAUAU